GCCGGGCACCGUGUGCACGCCUGUAAUCCCAGCAGCUCAGGAGGCUGAGGCAGGAGGAUUGCAAAUUCGAAGCCAGCCUCAGCAACUUAGCAAGGCUCUAAGCAAGUUGGCGAGACCCUGUCUCUA
rnacentral:sRNA from 1 species